GGGCCGGUAGAUCAACGGUAGAUCGCACCCUUGGCAUGGGUGAGGUUCCGGGUUCAAAUCCCGGCCGGUCCA
rnacentral:tRNA from 1 species